CUUUUAACAACUUAAAAUAAAUCAUCUUCAAGAUACGGUACUUUCACACUUAACCUCACUUAUGUUUUGUUAUAUGUUUCAUUCAUUCAUUCAUUUGUAUGAGAUUUGUUUAACGUGGAUGGCAUUUCUUAUCGUGGAUGGUAAUUUAAAAAGGCUUUGAAGAAGAUCUAUAUCCGUUAUGUAAUUUAAUGUGGAUUAUUU